rnacentral:lncRNA from 1 species
CGUUAAUGGCAAUGUAUUUGCAGACUGAAUAUAAAAUCCUAUGACAACAUUACAACUUUGAAGGAGGAAAGCUUUUUGAAUAAAUGUAUCUACACACAGAUAGAUUGACUGGAUAUACCUCUUAAAGUUUUAAAACAUGCUGCUUGAGUUAUGCUUAUUACUUUGUAAAGUGACUAAUAUCCCAUAUGAAUGCAGGCCAAUUUUUAAGUUUAGAAGUCAGAGCUCCCACAGUAAGCCUUUGGAUAUGGCACUCUGAGGCAAACCCUACAUUAAGAAAAAUUCUGCAGCUGUGCCAGGAAUCAGAUCAAAACACAGAGAACUUCAAAAUUCAGUUCUCAAAGUUAGGAAAGGUCAUGAAAUCUGCCACUAUUCGAAUUCGAGGUUGGGAAUUUCAGAGUGGUGAUGAUACUUUGAUCCUGAAAUUUACUUCCCUAGAGCUGGUAACAAUAGAACAUUUACAAAUACAUUGAAAGAAUGCGACUGCAUCCAAUUGUUUUUAAUAGUUUAUAGAGUACAGUUUGCAGAAAUCCCAUAAGGAAGACAAUGCUUUAAGUCCAGUGCACCUCCACUUAUCUAAAGUUUUAUAUUCAUAGUUGCAUAUGCCUUGAAACUGCAGGAACUUAUCCUAAGAAGCUCACAGCAUUGCCCCGCAUUGACAACACAUUUAACAGUAAACAGGGAAGUGUACACACUGCUUUCAAGAACCAACUUUAGCCAAUCUGACCUUUUUCCAAAGCGUUAUUGUUUGUUUUGAAACUUUUAAUCCAAUAAGAGCCUCUGUCGAUGCCAUCAUGAAUUCAGAUGUGUUUAUUUUGGAGCCUACACCAGCGCCUUUUUUGUUUGCUCUUUCCGGCAAUUCCCCAGUGAGGAGGAAGACCUGGAGUAAAGUCUUUCUCUACCGUCGGCACUGGAGGAGUGAGAGCUGAAAGAGGGAGAAUCGGGAUCGCCAUGGGGUUGGCCACUCUGGAACUUGAGCGGCUUUCGUCUGCGUUAGGAAGCGUGGGGAAACGGAACUGGCUGAGGGGCGACAUGUCACGGAGGAACGAGGAGCGGGCGCAAAGGUGAGGGCAGAGCACUGGGAAGGGGGCGGCGCCCCGGGCCCGGGUCCAGGCGGUGCGUCGCGGGCGGGGAGCGGCCGGAGGUGGGUGUGUGCAUCUGGGUGUGUCCCGGCGGCCCGGGGGAGGGGGCCGCCCACCCGGGGUCUUGAGGGAGGGGCCCCGCGAGAGGGCGGGUCUGUGGCUCGGCCCGGCUCAGGGCCAAAGGGGCGGAAGGUCGCCGGUGCCGUGAGGGGCGGUGCGGGGAAGCGCCUGGGCGUCGCGGGAGCGGGCUGCGGCGCAGACGGGCGGGGCGGCCACGGGGCAGGGCGGCGGGGCCGGGGAACGGGUCUCGAGCCCAGUAGAGGAGCAGCACCUACCUCCGGGGGUGGAAAUGGGCCGGAAUGGGCCGGAACACCGUCCCGGAAGUGAAACCCCCCGCCCCCUCCCCCGGAGCGGGCGACGUGCCGGAAGGAAAUCGCUCACCCUUACACCGUCCCCCUCCCCCAGCGCUUUCCGUUCGCGCCCCCUCCCCUCUCAGCAUUUCCUCCCGGGCGAGGAGGAGGGCGGAUCCCAGCGUCACGUGAGCGGUCGUGUCCCCGCCCCAAAUUACGAGGUCGGGCGGGGCCUCGGGAGCGGGCGGGAGGUGGGGCUGGAGGAAGGGAGGUGGCUUAGAGAGGGUGCGGGGCGAAGCAGCGGCGGCGAGGGGAGGGGCGGGCGUUGUGACGUCACGAAGAAGACCGCUCUUAUACUGGAGUUCGGGCGCCAUAUCGGUCUUUCGGUGCUGCGAGUCUGGUCGGGAGUAGGUAGGUUGCUGCUUUGCGGUGGUUGAAAGCGGUCAGCUCUUGGAACUCUUAGGCGUUUUGUCCUUCCCGAACGGGUUGCUUUGCUAGGCCUAAGGCGCGCAUUUGCAGGCCUCUCUAGGCGGAGGGGGAGAUGGCGUGUUGGGAGCCCGCGCGACCUAGAUAGCGUUGGGAUUUUGGGGCUUAAACUAUGAGGAAGACCCGGCUCGAGUGCCCUGCCUGUGAUGAAGCCUUAGUUGGUAGGGACAUCUGAAGAGUGUUGAAGAAUGCCAACGGCUCUGAAGGCGGCCGGCGCCGAGUCGCCAGAGUAGGCCUUUGUUCCAGUAAUGGCGCUCCCAGCCUGGAGCGGCUCGAUCUGAGGGAAGGACAGAAGAGCCCACGUGGUUCUUUUAGGUGGCUGGAUUCCGCAGUGCACCAUUUUUGGUGCAUAACAGUGUAUUUCUUGCUUGCAUAUUCAUAUGUAUUCACGAUUUUAUCAGUGGUUUUUAGUUGCAUUGUUAUUUCGCAACAUGAAGUGCAUCAUUUACUUAAGCCUAUGGUGGUAUGAACUAUCGGUAUUAGAUAGUAACAAAUGUAAAAUAUUAACUUAAAUGGAACGAAAGAAUUUAAGGUCUAACGUAUUAGAAAUGGUAUGGGGUAGGUAUGUAAUGUGGGUUAUUUUGUGUGGACACUGGAAAUUGAACCCAGGAGUCACAUCUCCAAAUGUUUUUCUGUUUAAGAGACGCAGGGUGUCCCCUAAAC